rnacentral:rRNA from 1 species
GAUGAACGCUGGCGGCGUGCCUAAUACAUGCAAGUCGAGCGAACAGAUAAGGAGCUUGCUCCUUUGACGUUAGCGGCGGACGGGUGAGUAACACGUGGGUAACCUACCUAUAAGACUGGAAUAACUCCGGGAAACCGGGGCUAAUGCCGGAUAACAUGUUGAACCGCAUGGUUCUACAGUGAAAGGCGGCUUUGCUGUCACUUAUAGAUGGACCCGCGCCGUAUUAGCUAGUUGGUGAGGUAACGGCUCACCAAGGCAACGAUACGUAGCCGACCUGAGAGGGUGAUCGGCCACACUGGAACUGAGACACGGUCCAGACUCCUACGGGAGGCAGCAGUAGGGAAUCUUCCGCAAUGGGCGAAAGCCUGACGGAGCAACGCCGCGUGAGUGAUGAAGGUCUUCGGAUCGUAAAACUCUGUUAUUAGGGAAGAACAAAUGCGUAAGUAACUGUGCGCGUCUUGACGGUACCGAAUCAGAAAGCCACGGCUAACUACGU